rnacentral:rRNA from 1 species
UACGUAGGGACCGAGCGUUGUCCGGAAUCAUUGGGCGUAAAGAGCGUGUAGGCGGCCACUUAAGUCCUGCGUGAAAUCUUGCGGCUCAACCGCAAGCGGUCGUGGGAAACUGGGUGGCUAGAGUGCGGGAGAGGAGAGUGGAAUUCCUGGUGUAGCGGUGGAAAUGCGCAGAUAUCAGGAGAACACCCGGUGGCGAAGGCGGGCUCUCGGCG